rnacentral:lncRNA from 1 species
GGAGAUUGAGGACCAAUGGUAGUCACCCUUGGAUGAUGAGUGAUUGACAAUGUUGUGUUGGAUUGAUGUCGCUCUUGGCUGGUGAUGUGCAGGUGUAGGAUGUGGUGUGACAGCCGACGGUGUGCGGUGAAGGUCAAGCAAAAGGUUUAUGUCGAUGUACCAAGAGCGGUGAAGGAUGAACGCGAGUAGGUUUGAACCAAUAGACCCGAGGAGUUCGGGCGGAGUCAUGGGCGGUCCACAUGGUGUACGGAACGACAAGAGAAGGGUUGG